rnacentral:rRNA from 1 species
AUACGGAGGAUGCGAGCGUUAUCCGGAUUUAUUGGGUUUAAAGGGUGCGCAGGCGGCACGUCAAGUCAGCGGUCAAAAUGCGGCGCUCAACGCCGUACCGCCGUUGAAACUGGCGGGCUGGAGUUCGUGGGAGGAUUGCGGAAUGCGCGGUGUAGCGGUGAAAUGCAUAGAUAUCGUGCAGAACUCCGAUUGCGAAGGCAGCAGUCCAUCACGCGAAUGACGCUCAUGCACGAAAGCGUGGGUAUCGAACAGGAUUAGAUACCCUGGUAGUCCACGCGGUAAACGAUGAUAACUAGUUAUCCGGGGAGAUUGGUCCCUGGGUGACCGAGCGAAAGCGUUAAGUUAUCCACCUGGGGAGUACGCCGGCAACGGUGAAACUUAAAUGAAUUGACGGGG